rnacentral:lncRNA from 1 species
UAUUUAUUUAUUUUAGGGCCGCAGGUGCAGCAAAGAAAGUUCCCAGGCUAGAGGUCAAAUUGGAGCUACACCCUAUGCCACAGCCACAGACACACGAGAUCUGAGCCGCAUCUGCAACCUACACCAGAACUCACAGCAACUCCAGAUCCUUGACCCACUGAUGGAGGCCAGGGAUGGAAUCCUCAUCCUCAUGGAUACUAGUCAGAUUCGCUUCCGCUGCGCCACAAUGGGCACUCCAAGGAUCACUCCUUAAAGAAUUUCAGACAGAGUAGCUGGAUGAAUAGAGAUGCCAUUUCCAGAGGAAAAAGCCUCCUGUUGGGAAAGAGGGAAUCGAGAAUUUGUACUGGGUGUAUUAAGUCUGAGAUGUCUAUUAGAUAACUAAGUGCGAAUGUCAAGCAGGCAAAGAAGUCCUGGCUAGAGGUAAAAUUUGAGAAUCAUUAGAUGUCCACAAUAUUUACAAAAUCCAUAAGACCAUACAGGAUCAUAAGGACAGUAAACGUGGAGAAAAGAAAAGGAUUUGAAAACUGAGCCUCAGAGCUCUCCAUCAUUUUGAGUUAGCAGAGUUAAGAAGGACCGAGCAAAGGAGACUGCUACAUGUCUCUGCUGAAUAUAAACUUAAGGGAUGGGACCAACUCUUAGCACCAUGCUUAGCUUGUAAUAGAUAAUUAAAUAUUACUGAAUAAUAAUAGUAUGUUUAUAACUUUAGCAUGGGUAAAAAGAGGUUCUAAUAUCACAAGUUAUAAAACUGCAUAUAAAUGUCUUUUUAUAUGUUUGAUAUAAAGUGAUCCAGGUCAACUGCUCCAAAGCUUUAAAAAGAAAAUGUCUCCUGCAUACAGUUACCAAAAGCAAUAAAUUUAAGAAUCUACAUUGUGUUAAUAGAGAGAUAUCACCCUGAAAAUAAAUCAAUCCUGAAAUGUGCAGCUUCCAACAUUUACUGAGUGCCUACUAAGAUGCUAGAAAUACAGUGGUGAGAAAAAUAGACAAAACACAUCGUCACUGAACUAACACAGAUGGACAGACAGAUAAUAAAUAAGAUAAAUAAAAUGGUAUGUUAGUAUUAAGCAGGAAUGAGCACCACACAAAACAGCAAAGGGAGGGGAGCCAAGGAAGGCUCCACCUAGAAGGUAACUUCUGCAUAAAUACACAAAGAAAGAAGGGAGACAAGUAAACAUUUUAGAGAAAGUAGCUUUUAGUCAUUGGCAAAAAGUAAACAAUUUAAACCGAGAAGAUAAACACCACUGGGAAUCAAAAGUGAUAACUUAGAUUAACAGAAAUAGAAAGAUGGCCAACUCCCUGUGUACAAGAUCAAUGAUUCUGUGCAAAGGUCAUGAGUAAUAAAUCCAGAUCCUAUCAUAUAAAUUUUACCUAGGACUGGAAUUCCAAAUAUAAGGCUAUUGGGUAGAGAUUCUGGUAUAUAUGCUUCUGGACAUGUAUGCAAGUAUGUACAUUUGAGGGGGAACUGUGUACAUGCAUUUAUAUCUAUAGGUCUUAUGUGUUUCUAUGUGUCCUAGAGGGGGGACACUACUGGGAUAAAUAAGAAAAAAAGAUAAAUAUUUAUUAAGCAGCUGCACAUGCCAAGGCAAUGCUUAAUAUUUUCUCAAAUACUUCAUUUAGUCUAUAUGACAACCUUGUGAUGUAAGCAUUUACUGUUCUCUUUCACAAAAAUUUUUAUUAAAAAAUCACAGUUACAACAUAGCUGGUACAGUGACUUGACAAGAAAUCAAAUUCCAAAGCCUAGUCUAUCCAUUACUAUUAAUGUCUUUCUGAAUACAGCAGUGCUGAGAGGAAUAGAUAGCCAUUCUCUCUGAUAUUAUCUUAAGAGACCCUGUAGGAUCUCCAAUCUAUUUCAAAGGAUAUCUUAAGCACAGAAAUAAGAGCCAACACAGACCCCAGUGUGAUUAACGCUCAAGAGAAAUUGCAAAGGGCCAGGGUCAAGGUCCUGGACAAGAUGAUCCUAAGAAAAAGAUUAUUUGGAGUGGGAAGAAAGCUAAAUCAUAGUAAUAGCUGUCAUUUAUCAAAUAAAUACAUACAUUACACAUAGGAGAUGUUUUUUAGAGACUUCAUAAAUAUAUUUCACCUAAUCAUCACAAUAACUUCUUCUAAGUAAUUUUUUUUUCUUUAAAUACAGCGAUCAGAGAGAGGAAUAACAUUCCAGGAGUAAGGCACAACAUGAAGAGGUCUGAGAGGUAGAAACAAGAAGAGCAUCUUCAAGAAGGCUAAGGCAUAGAGAGAUGAAAGAGGAACAAGAAGAGAUAAGACUGUAAAGGAAAGGCAGCUUCAGAAAGUAUCUGGAAUGCCAAGCUAAGGAGUUUUAACUUUAUUCAGUAAGCAUCAAGGGUCACUGAAAGUUUCUGUGUGGUCAAAACUAUGCUACAGGAAAAUUACUGACAGCUACAGGGCCUACACUAAGGAAAUGAAAAGGCAAUGGGGAAGGGAGCGUGAUGGACUGGGAGUCUGAGGUUAGUAGACAGCAAACUAUCACAUUUGGAGUGGAUAAGCAAUGCAGUCCUGCUAUAUGGCACAAAGAACUAUAUCCAGUCACUUGCGAUGGAACAUGAUGGAGGAUAAUGUGAGAAAAAGAAUGUAUAUAUGUGUACAACUGGGUCAUUUUGCUGUGCAGCAGAAACUGACAGAACAUUUACUGAGCCACUGCAUUGAUAAUGCCAGAUCCUUAACCUGCUGAGCCACAUGAGAACUAAUAUUUCUUAAAUUUUUACUGAAAUAUAGUUGAUUUACAGUGUUGUGUUAAUCUCAGGUAUACAAUAAAGUGAUUCGGUUAUACAUACACACAUAUACACACACACACACACACACGUUUUAAAAUUAUCUUCCAUUAUAGGUUAUUAUAAGAUAUUGAGUAGAGUUCCCUGUGCUAUACAGUAGGUCUCUGUUGGUUAUCCAUUUUAUAUAUAGUAGUGUGUUUAUUUUAAUCCCAAACUCAUCAUUUAUUCCUCUCCCUCAGUUUAAUUUUAAUUUCUGCUAUAGGAUAAAAGACGCACAUAUUUCUGAAAAACAUACAGUACUGAUGUAGUAAACCAAGUUGAACAAAUUCACUUUGGAGAUAGAUCUGAGUUUCAACACAAGUUUUGUACUUAAUGAUCUGCAUGUCCUUAGUCUUAACCAACUGCUUGCAUAAAAAGAAGUAAUUAUAAUACUUCAGGGACUACUAUGAGAAUUAACUGAGGUAAAGCACUUACCACAAUGCCUAGAACAGAGUAACCACUCAGUAAAUGGUAACUAAUAGCACCCUUCCUUGGUUAGGGAUUGCUAAAAAUUAGCAUCUGUCCACAAAUUCCUUCACCCUAGCCAUUAGGUCCUGACCAAAAAUAAUCUGUAGUUUAACAACUGGAUACAUCGGAGGAGCUCAUUUUUUUCUAAAUGAGACUUUUUAAAAUUUCUAUUAGAGGAAAACGUAUGGAAAACCACCUCCUUUUCUAUACCUUAUGCUCCACAUCUCUGAAACGAAGGGUUUUAGAGAACUAUUUCAAAUUGGGGGUUUACAAACUAGGAGUCAGCUAGUCAAAGACUUACUUUGUUUGGAUUGCAUAAUAUUAGAAAAAAUGUAGCCAACACCUAUAAACGGGGAGAGUUAAUAAUAAAUAUUUCUGGUUUCUCUUUUAAGAAUCCAAGACCUAGAAGUUCCCUUGUGGCGCUGGGUUAAGGAUCGAGCAUUGUCCCUGCAGCAGCUGGGGUCACUACUACGGUGCAGGUUCGAUCCCUGGCCUGGGAACUUCCACUGGCCAUGGGUGUGGCCAAAAAUACAUAAAGAUAACACAUGAAAUUUUUUUUUUUUUUUUUGACCACCCCAUGGCAUAUGUUGUUCCCAGGACAGGGGUCAGAUGUGAGACGCGUUUGCAACCUAAACCGCAGCUGCAGCAAUGCUGGAUACUUAAUUCACUCUGUUCGUCCAAGGAUUGAACCUGUGUCCCAGCGCUUCCAAGACACUGCUGAUCCCACUGCACCACCAGCAGGAACCCAACACAUGACAUUUUUUGAAAAGGCACAUGGCAACACUGAUUUCAAUUGUUUUUAGAUAGUGCUACCUAUGGCCAGUUUGAUAAAUACUAUAAGAACCAGAUAUACAUUUAUAUGAAGUAAAUUGUUUAUCAAGAAAACUAUGGACAUAUACUUUACCGAUUAUCACCACUGCUUAUGUUACAGCCCAUACUUAACUGAGUACACAGUGUACCAGGCAGUGUACCAAGUCAUCCAAUCUUUCUACAACCACUCUGUAAGAUCAGAGUAACUACUAUUAUCAAAUUAUACAAAAGGAAACUGAGGUUCAGAGAGAUU